rnacentral:tRNA from 1 species
ACAGCUUUAAGUUAUAGAAACUGUAAACCUUCAAAGUUUAAAAAGAUGAUUUGUCAAGCUGUC